UCGAUAAGUGCACUACAUGGCCUCUUG
rnacentral:sRNA from 1 species